rnacentral:rRNA from 1 species
GACAGCAGCAGCCGCGGUAAUACGUAGGUGGCGAGCGUUGUCCGGAAUUAUUGGGCGUAAAGGGAGCGCAGGCGGACAUAUAAGUCCAUCUUAAAAGUGCGGGGCUCAACCCCGUGAGGGGAUGGAAACUGUAUGCCUUGAGUGCAGGAGAGGAAAGCGGAAUUCCCAGUGUAGCGGUGAAAUGCGUAGAUAUUGGGAGGAACGCCAGUGGCGAAGGCGGCUUUCUGGACUGUAACUGACGCUGAGGCUCGGAAGCCAGGGGAGCGAACGGGAUUAGAUACCCCCGUAGUCCCUGUCUCUUAUACA